UUGAAAGGGAAACGAUUGAAGUCAGUCAUACCAACGGGAAAUCAACCUUUUGAGCUUGGUCUCGUGGGUUUGAAGAGUUUCAAAGCCUUCGGAUUCGCGGGAUUGGGAUCUCUUGGUGUACUUUUUCGUACGGUUAGUCAACAUCGGUUUUGAAUGUCAUAAAAUGACUGGAGGAAUGUAGCUUCGAUCUCGUAUUGAAGUGUUAUAGCCUUUGGUAGAUGUGAUGUUUGAGACCGAGGAUUGCAACGGAUACCCUUCAGGGCUAUUCGUCUGAUCUCUGAUACGUUGCCUUGAUGUUGAAAGCUUGCUUAUGAUGUUAGGGUAUUACGGUCAAAAGGUUAGAACGAAUUACAUUCGUUAAGGAUGUUGACGUA
rnacentral:rRNA from 1 species